rnacentral:rRNA from 1 species
UUGCUAAGUUUGAUGGCGACCGGCGCACGGGUGAGUAACACGUAUCCAACCUGCCGAUAACUCGGGGAUAGCCUUUCGAAAGAAAGAUUAAUACCCGAUGGCAUAAUAGAACCGCAUGGUUUGAUUAUUAAAGAAUUUCGGUUAUCGAUGGGGAUGCGUUCCAUUAGGCAGUUGGUGGGGUAACGGCCCACCAAACCUUCGAUGGAUAGGGGUUCUGAGAGGAAGGUCCCCCCACAUUGGAACUGAGACACGGUCCAAACUCCUACGGGAGGCAGCAUG